CUUUCAUCUGUGGGACUUCGGUUCCAUCUCGUUCCAUGGAUGAUGAUCAGAGCCGCCUCUCUUUUCUUUAAGAGCCAGACUUGUCUUUGGACAAAAUUGAGAAGAACUCAUAAACUUCGCUUCUUCACUUCUGCUCCUCAGUAUGCCAGGGAUGGGCACAUGGCAGUGAACAAGAAAUGUGUGAGACUGCGUCUAAGGAAGGUGCAGGCCAAGAUGUCUGACUCAGAGGUGAAAAUGAGAGUGGACUGGAGAAGGAAGUAACCAGAGAGGGAGAAGCUAGUCAGGAAGCUGCUGAAGUUAUCCAAGAGUUGUGUUGAUGUUCCUUUCAGCUGGUCCUAUAGUCCCCCUCCUCAGGAAUGUCUCCCAGUGCAAGGACAAAGACUGAAGAGACUGCUAUAUUGAUGGACCCUCAAGCCAACUAUGAAGUUGAAACAAAGAAAGUGAUCACCUGAAGACACCUCCUCUGCUAAGAAACACCCCCAAAUUGUGCAGCUUCUGACACUAGAACUCUCAGAACAAGAGACAAUCUUUUGAAGAAACAGAAAAACUCAAUAAUGACAUCUAGAUUUUCAUGAGCCAAGAACUUUCCCUUCCUCAUGUGUAUUCCUCUGUUUGUACUUAAAUUCAUGUGACAUUCAUUUUUUUCCUAGUAUGGAUAUGCUUAUUAAUGCACUUGUUUCAAAAUCGAAAAUUGCACAAAUGUGUUAAUAUUUUAAGAAACAAAAUUAAUCCUACAAGGAGAAUGAUUUUUAGCCACACAUAGGGUUGGAUCUUAAGAGUGACCUACAGAAUAAAAAGUACUUUUAAAAUAAAGUAGUCAGAGGCUAUUCAAAGGGUAAAAUAAUCAUAGUACCACAUUGGUCCACUUGACACUAACCAAUCGAUCAUUAUUUUUUUAAUCAAGAAAGCUAGAUUCUAUCAGAUAAAAUAACUGCUUCUAAAGAGUUUAAAUCUAGUUAUAAAAAGUUAUAGAAAUGUUUGCAAAGAUAAGUAACAGAUAGGGUCAGUAGAGGAUAAGAUCAAAAACAAAACCAAGCAAAAGAUGAGUUCAGGGGAGUUUGCCAUCAAGUUGGCAAAACUGACGUAUUUAGGGAAGAAAGUUCUAAAAGAGGAAAAUAUAAGAUGAACCUUGAGUGAUGUCAAAGAUUUAGAGAUAAAUGGAAAGGAAGGAGAAAAUGGAGUUCUUUAGGUGGUUGUAAUUGGAGGAGGAAAUGAAUACACACAUCUUGUUGACUUAAACCCAGACAUUCAGCAGCUUUCUAUACAUAUCUGGAAAAGACUUUGCACAGUCACCUCCUGUCUCUCACCCCGGGUAUUACUUAGAAUUAUUAUCGUAUUUCCCUUCCUUUAAAGUAAGUAAGGGUGAUUGGUGACAAUAUGGAGAACUAUGAUUUUUCCAUUAACCUAAUAAUAAUUGGUAUUUAUUGAGUUCUGUUAAGCAUUUUACAUAUUAACUCACUUAAGCCUUUCAACAGCCUUGCAAAAUAGGUAUUAUUAUUCCCAUUUUACAGGCAAGAAAACUGAGGUUUAAGUAACUUGCCAAAGUGCCAUAUACAGGGCUCACAUUCAGUAUUGCAAUUGCAAAGCUCAUGAUCUAUAGUGCCAAGUUGCAAUAUUGGAGUCAAUGUCACAAUUAUUACCCCUUUUUAUAUUCCUUGAUAUUUUUCCAUGGCAAACAAAUAGCUAUUUCAUUUAAUAAUCACCUAAAACUUUUCAGUCUUCUGGUUAAAAUUACACUGGAGUGAUAGAAUGUAUUUUCGUGAUAGAAUGUAUUUUCAUGAUAGAAAUUGGGGAAAAAAAUGGGGAAUGAAGUUUAUCAGCAUUUCAGACCUUUUUUUUUUUGCAAGACUUUGAUGAGAUUGUUCACUUUUGUCUACGUAAAAUCCCAAAUCCUUGAGAAUAAAAAAGGGGGAGGUUUAAGUCACUUGUUGCAAUGCCCUUUUUAACAGAGGCAAUAAAUCUAAGGCCAUAGAUUUAGAGUGACUUACAGAAGGUCGAACUUUGGGGUGUGGCAGAGUAAGGGAUGGAAACCAGGCCUUCCAGUUCACUAUCAGUAGCUCUUGCACUAGUCUGCCCUUCCUAAAUUAAUUAUGCACUUCAAUUUGAUGAGUGGAAACAGUCUAUCUAGGUAGUAACCAGGGAGCUUUGUGCCUAGUAGAUUGCUUCUGUUCUGCACUUCUUUGGUUUCCCACCUCAAUGUAAAAAAUAGCUAGCAAUGAAGCCCAGAAGUUGUCAAUGGUUCAUCCCCAAAAGAAUGCAUAAUGUCCAAAGUUGUAUGUGUAUAAUGUCUUCAAUGGUAUUUUUAAGUUAUUUCAAAUUCUUAGUUCACUUACAUAAAUCAUUUCUAAUGAGCAUCUUCUUAACCAACUUUAUGCACAGUGUAUGUUUGUAAGUGCUUCUGCACGAAUGUUUAUACAUGACUGUUUCCAUAGUACUUGUGUUUUUAAAAAUAUUCAGUCAUUUCCUAUUAUAAUCCUCAUGUAUCCAUGUAACUGACUCAAAAAUACUUCAGCCAUAAAAAGCUAAAUCUGAGCAAAUCUCAUUCUUCUUUUCCAUCCCCUUUGCAUGUGGCUGGCAUUUAGUAAUGAUUAAUAAUGUGGCCAGCUGAAUAACAGAGGUUCGAGACACAAUUCUUUCUCAAAGGAGUCAGCUAAGCUGGGUCUACUUAUGGACAAACAUCUAAAUGUGUGGAAGUAUCUGAUAUUUGACUAUGGUAAAUUUCCACUUAGCUAGCUAGCACUGUCAGACUUAGAUCUCCUCAUGGCUCUGGCCGUCCUGUUUUCAGCAUGAUAAUUGUUGGCCACAUCUCACAUAGUUCUCAUUAAGUGAGUUCAUAAAUAAACAGGGUUUUUUUUUUUAAAGAGCAGCCAAGCACAAAGUGUGACUUUGUUGACAUUUUAUGUGACUUCGUCAUAUGUUCCUAACCCCCAAUAAAAGCAAUGUUGCAUCAACUGUGAAUUUGUGUUGAUUUCUUGAAAAAGCAUGCUCUUAUAAUUUAUUUGUUUUCACUAGUGUAUAUCAAAGUUAGUUUCAAGAUCCAUGAGGAACAAGUCAGCUAACGUGAUAGGAAAACUUAAAUGUAGAG
rnacentral:lncRNA from 1 species